rnacentral:misc_RNA from 1 species
CAACCCUCAAGCCCGCUGCGUGCUUGGUGUUGGGGACCGGCCAGCCCGCCUCGCGGCGGCGGCCGCCCCUGAAAUGAAUUGGCGGUCUCGCCGCAGCCUUCUUUGCGUAGUAACAUACCACCUCGCAACCAGGAGCGCGGCGCGGCCACUGCCGUAAAACGCCCAACUUCUCCAAG